GAUGUCCCUGACACGUGGAGCUCCCGGGCGUGAGGAGCCCACGGCAAGCGGUGCCCCCCGACAGCCCUUGGCCAUUGGGAGGCGGCGGCGGUUCCGGCCCCACCGGAGAGGUGCAGGCGGUGACCGCCGGGACCGCGGCGUGCGGAGGGGGUCUGGGGGCAACGGCAGAGCUGUGUCCCCUGGGCAGGUGACCACUGAACCAGCAGCACCAGCUCUUUCAGGAGUACCAGGGCCCCUGUUGCCAGGCACUUGGCCAUGACCAGCCCUGGGCCAUAGGGACACUGCUCAGCUGCUUCAAGAUCCACAAGGAGCCCAUGUCCACCCCCAAGAACACAAAGAGCUGUGUGCUGGUGACCAUGGGGCUGAUGGGUGCAGUGAUCCGGCAUUGCUCUGGCAUCGAUCCACCAUCAACUCAGCAUUGAUCCAGCAUUGAUUCAGCAUAUAUCCAGCAUCACAGAAUCACAGAAUGAUUUAGAUUGGAAAAGACCUCCCAGACCAUCGAGUCCACCCUGUGCUCAAUCCCCAUCUUGUCACCCAGACUGCAGCACUGAGUGCCACAUCCAGUCAUUUCUUGAACACCUUCAGGGGUGGGGACUCCACCACCUCCUUAGACAGCCCCUUCCAAUGUCUGAUCACCCUUUC